GGGCGCGGGCCGGCCGCCGCGCGGUGCGCUCGCCGUGCUCUGUGCGGCUUGCCGGGCCGCCCGCCAGAGGGUGCCCCCCACCCCCAUGAAGUCGGAUCCUUGAGCUGCGGCGGCGGCAGCCAACUGCUCCAUAUUUGGCUUCUAUUACACAUUUACAUACUGGAGCGAGCGAGCGAGCGAGCGCGAGAGAGCGCGAGGGAGGGAGGGCGGGCGGGCGGAGGGAGGAGGGAGGGGAGGGGAGCGGGAGGAGGGGGAGGAGGAGGAGGAGGAGGAGGAGAGAGCAGAGUAUACCGCAGACAUCAUUUCUACUACAGUGGCGGAGCCGUACAGGACCUGUUUCACUGCAGGGGGAUCCAAAACAAGCCCCGUGGAGCAGCAGCCAGAGCAACAGCAGCCGCAAGACAUUGUUUCUCUCCCUCUGCCCCCCCUUCCCCACGCAACCCCAGAUCCAUUUACACUUUACAGAGCAUCGUGCAUCAAGUCACCAGGGUGGUCCAUUCAAGCUGCAGAUUUAUUUGUCAUCCUUGUACAACAGUCUCCUCCUCCACUGCCACUACAGGGAAGUGCAUCACAUGUCAGGUCACAGAACAGAAAGUGCUGGUGGACAUCUCUUCUUGCCCUAAGAUCUUCGUUGGAAGUCCUCGGGACUUGGUGUCUUUGCCGUUCAAAGUGUUUAUGAACUCGCCAGGAGGCAUAAUGUGUCACCAUUUUAUUCUGGGCCACCCUAAAGGAUGA
ensembl:lncRNA